AAAAACAAGAAGAAAACCUAGGUGGAGGAUUUCAAGAGAAAAAGUGUGGAAAAUCAAGGAAAACAAAUGAAAAAGGUAGGAUGUUUCAAUUUAAACUUGAAAUCUAUUUUCCUUAAGCAUUUCUCCUUAUUUUUCAUGGUUAAAUUACAUGUUUUCAUGAUGAAUUCAUGGCUGGUCAAAAUGGGUAUGGAGAGAGAAAGAUGUUGGAUUGAUUUGAUUUUAAGUUAUGUUAGUGUUUUUAGUUAGUUUAGCAUAUUUAGAAACAAAACAACAAGAAAAGAAUUCAUUUUCCCCCAUCACCAUCAUUGGCUGAAUUUUCUAGGGAGGAUAUUGUGGCUGAAAUUGAUGAUAUUUCAUGAUAUUUGGGUGAUAUUUGAUGUUUGGUGAGGCUAGAAAUUAAAUGGGAAAUUUUGGUGUGAAAAUCUGAAUUUUUACUUAAUGUAUAGACAUGUGUGAUUAUUGACCUGGGACUGAUAAAUUGAAUCUCAUUCAUAGUCACUGAGGUAAUUUAGGUACAAUUGGAGUGUAGAAAGUGAGAAGAAUUGAUUUGGAGCUAAAUUGGAGAUUCUAGCCGAUUAGGCCGAGUAUAGUGUGACUUAGGUCGAAUAUUACAUUUAAGUGAUUAAUUAGACAUUUUGCAUCCCAUCGCAUGCAUUCAUUUAGAUUUAGAGAGCCUGAAAUAGUUUAUGAUAAAUUGACACAAUUUAUUGAAAUUCGUGUCACGUAUGAUGUAUAGGUGGUGAGCCCUCUAACAAGGGUAAAGAGAUUGUGCUCGAAGAUCGAGAAUAGGAGUAUAUCGAACUCCUAGUAGUGUGAGUAACCUUACCAUCAUUUUAAUUAUCUAAAGUAUGUUUUUAAUCGGUUUUGGUGAAAUUUUAUGAAAAUGAGUUUAAAUGGUAAAUUUUUGUGUUUUACAAACAGAAUGUGUUUACAUGGAAAGAUUUUAUAAAUUGUCUUGAAAUUGAAUAACAAUUUUGAAAAUAGAGUAAUUGGAGACCACCGGUAUGUUGUAAAUUUAUGAUUGGAAAUUGAUGUCUUAUGUUAUAUUGUUAUUGUGUUGGCAUGACUGGCUGGGUUGUGUUUUAUGAAUUGUAUGAAUUGUUUUAUUUUACCCUUGCAGGUUGGGUAGUAAAAUAUUAGCCCUGUCAUGCUGUCAAAAAUUUUAUUGUAUGGUGGGUUUAGCUUGCUGGAGUAGGUGGAUUCUGUGGACCAUCCUAUUAGAGGGGCACGAAAUCCGAAUAUAUGUAUAUGUACCUCGGUCGGAGAGGCGCGUAGGUUAUCUCCUGGUAUGGACAGAGUUCACGUCACGCCGAACCACCUCGUGAUGAUAAACUCCGCUAACGCCUAGGAAUGGCUAUGUUUUUCAAACUAAAAAUAUGUUUUACGUGUAUACGAAAUUUUAACAGCCUUGGCAGGCUUGAGUGUACGCCUUUGAUCAAGGUGUCAUCGAGUACUAUUUGAUGGCAUGAGCCAAAUGUUUAUGGAAGUCAUAAGCCUUAAUGAGAAAUUAAAUGAAAUACAACCGUUUGCAUGGGUUGGGAUAAAUUUUCAAAUUGUGAAAUACUUAAAAAUGAUGGGAUAUUUUAAUUGUCUCCUUUUACUCAAUUUUAGCUGAUUUAAAUGAUGUUUGUUUACUCAUUGGGAUUUUAUAAUCUCAUCACCCUCAUUUCCACCCAUUUCAGGCUCAAAGUAGGUUGUAGAUAACUGAUUCCAUCGAGGGCUUCCAUUGGACUUGCGUCCUCCGAACUGUAGGUUCACCAUUUUCCUCACUUCUAGUCAUUCGUGGGCCCGCUUGAUAUUGUAAAUUAAUUUAAAUGCAUUGGUUUAUUGUGUCACAG
rnacentral:lncRNA from 1 species